CUACGGGGGGCAGCAGUGGGGAAUCUUGCGCAAUGGGCGAAAGCCUGACGCAGCAACGCCGCGUGCGGGAUGAAGGCCUUCGGGCUGUAAACCGCUUUCAGCAGGAACGAAAAUGACGGUACCUGCAGAAGAAGGAGCGGCCAACUACGUGCCAGCAGCCGCGGUGACACGUAGGCUCCAAGCGUUGUCCGGAUUUAUUGGGCGUAAAGAGCUCGUAGGCGGUUGAGUAAGUCGGGUGUGAAAACUCUGGGCUUAACCCGGAGACGCCAUCCGAUACUGCUCUGACUAGAGUUCAGGAGGGGAGUGGGGAAUUCCUAGUGUAGCGGUGAAAUGCGCAGAUAUUAGGAGGAACACCGGUGGCGAAGGCGCCACUCUGGACUGAAACUGACGCUGAGGAGCGAAAGCAUGGGUAGCAAACAGGAUUAGAUACCCUGGUAGUC
rnacentral:rRNA from 1 species